rnacentral:tRNA from 1 species
GGAGUUGUGGCUCAGUGGUAGAGUUCCACCUAGCAUGUGUGAGGCACUGGGUUCGAUCCUCAGCACCA